AGUUGCUCUGCUUAGUUCCGUUGAGAGUGGCGUUGAUUCUGGAGUGAUAGGUAAUUUAAUUAUACUGUGAAGGUGUCCAUGUUUAAAAAUCGGUAGAGAACCAGUGGAGUAAAUUCUAUUUGUAGGCAAGGGAAGUAAUGCUGUUGGCGAAUUAAAAUACGAACUGGAACGGAUGAAGGCCUGGCCCUGGAAACGGAAUUUAUACUGGAAGUUCAGAAUUAUGGGUGUACUUUUGAAUACUGCUGAAGUUUCGAUUGGGGAACAAACCUGGAUUUGAGAUUCAAGCCUACGAGGUAGUUCAAGGCUCAAGCAGAACAUAUGAAAGGAUAUCUUACAGAACCAGUUCGGACCGAUGUCGUAAGACUAAUAUAUCAGGAGGUAAAUCAGCUGUAAGAUAACGAAUCCAUCCCAAAUGGAUACAUGGGGAUACUACCGGGAGUUGGUGGUAGGAAAGAAGUGUCCCCAUCGCGAGCUUAGUAACAAUUUCAAAGAAACUAAUAAUGUUUGUGAAGUAGGAACACGAAUGUGCGUCCCCUAGUCGUCGACAUUGGAGGUAUGCUAGCAUCAGAAGCAGGAAUUUUGCGUGUGUUGGACAUAAAAGAGGGCAACCAAUUAAUUUCUUCCGUACACAACAGCUGCAGCAGCAAUUAAACGCCUCGAAAGCAACAGAUACAUCGUCAGAUAUAGAAGCGGCAAAAAUAGUUGUCAAUUUAUUCAGUAUGUUUCGGCUGUAGCAGCAUUAGAUGCGUCAAAGCAGCGGAGUUUCAACAUUCGAUUCGGAAGCAGCCGAAACAUUUGUCCUUUUCUUCAGACAUUAACAUCUGUAGCAUCAGUAGACUCCUCCAUAGAAUCCUCCAAAGCAGCGUAGAUCCAAUAACAGAUUAAGAACAGCAGAAACAGUUAUCAGUUUCUUCAGUACAUAACAGCUGCAGCAAGAUCAGAUGCCUCAAAAGCAGAAAAAUUCCAACAGUCGUAAUUUUCUUUCUUACAUUAACGGCUGCAGCAGCAGUAGAUUUCUCCAAGGCAGCGUAGAUAUAACAGCAGAUUUAGAAGAAGUCAAUUUCUACAGCAAUCCAAACCAGCGAAAUUCCACCAGCAGAUCCAGUAGAAGCAGGAUUAGUUGUCAACAACUUCCGUUCAUUACGGCUGUAGCAGAAUUAGAUGCCUCCUGAACAGCGUAUAUUCAACAGCAGAUCAGCAGCUGCAGAAACAAACAGUUGUCAAUUUCUUCAGAACAUAGCUGCUGCCUUAGAGGGCUCCAAAGCAGCGAAGCUCCAACAGCAAAUUCAGUUCACAAUUUAGUUUGUACAUAACAGAUGCAGCAGCAAUAGUUGCUUCCAGAGCAGUGUGAUUCAACAGCAGAUCAGUAGCAGAAACAGUUGAACAUUUCUUCCGUACACAGCAGCAUUAAGAGAACUCCAAAGCAGCGCAGCUCCAACAGCAGAAACAAUUGUCAAUUUCUCAGUACAUAGCAACAGCAGCAGCAGCAUUAGAGGGCUCCAUAGCAGCGAAGCUCCGACAGCAGAUUUCGAUAGAAGCAGAAAAAAUGUCAAUUUCUUCAGUAGUUAACAGCUGUGGCAGCAUUAGAGGCCUCCAGAGCAGCGUGGUUUAACAGCAGAUCAGUAGCAGCAAGAACAGUUGUCAAUUUCUUCUGUUCAUAACAGCUGCAACAUCAGAUACCAGAUACUACCAAAGCAGCUUAGAUCCAGUAGCAGCAGAAACAUUAAAUUUCUAAAGUACAUCAAAGCUGCAGCAGCUUUAGAAGAUGCCUCCUGACCAGCUAAGUCGCAACAGAUUCAUUAGAAGCAGCAACAGUAGUCAAUUUCUUCAGUACAUAACAGCUGCAGCAAGAUCAGAUGCCUCAAAUGCAGCUGUGUUGCAACAGUGUUCUUAAUUACUUGUUACUACAGCUGUAGCCAGGACUCCUGGAAAGUAUUAGACAUUAUUAGGUACAAGAAAUAUAGCACCUGAAAUGUCAUUCAGUUGCUAGCUUUCAUAUUUUGUUAGAUAUACGAUGAACAGAAACACACAAAAUAUACAAUGUAAACCAAAUAAGUACUCUUACACAUCCCUCUAUAUGAAUGGUAAAUGUAUUAGUGAUGAGAAUUGGGGUAACAAAGUAAUACUGAACUGAUGAUCUAUACAGACUAUGAAAUACUAUUAAAAAAGAGGCGAGAGAAUCUGGACGAUGAUAUUGGGAAACUCUGUCUGAGGUUAAUCCCUUGUAUGUAUACAAGGGUUGCAACUUUUUUGCCAAGACGAUGUAGUUUAGAUAUAUUAGCACUGUCUUGGUAGAAACCAAUAUAUAUCAGCAAAGCCUUCGUAGAAACCAGUUUGAGCUAAACUGACUACCUCAGAAUCUAAUAUGCCCUAG